GACGAACGCUGGCGGCGUGCUUAACACAUGCAAGUCGAACGGUAAGGCCCUUCGGGGUACACGAGUGGCGAACGGGUGAGUAACACGUGGGUGAUCUGCCCUGCACUCCGGGAUAAGCCUGAGCAACUGGGUCUGAUACCGGUUAUGACCACUGCCUGCAUGGGUGGUGGUGGAAAGCUUUUGCGGUGUGGGAUGGGCCCGCGGCCUAUCAGCUUGUUGGUGGGGUGAUGGCCUACCAAGGCGACGACGGGCAGCCGGCCUGAGAGGGUGACCGGCCACACUGGGACUGAGAUACGGCCCAGACUCCUACGGGAGGCAGCAGUGGGGAAUAUUGCACAAUGGGCGCAAGCCUGAUGCAGCGACGCCGCGUGAGGGAUGACGGCCUUCGGGUUGUAAACCUCUCUCAGCACAGACGAAGCGCAAGUGACGGUAUGUGCAGAAGAAGGACCGGCCAACUACGUGCCAGCCGCCGCAGUAA
rnacentral:rRNA from 1 species